rnacentral:rRNA from 1 species
UACGUAGGGUGCAAGCGUUUGUCCGGAAUUAUUGGGCGUAAAGAGCUCGUAGGCGGUUUGUCGCGUCUGCUGUGAAAACCCGAGGCUCAACCUCGGGCCUGCAGUGGGUACGGGCAGACUAGAGUGCGGUAGGGGAGAUUGGAAUUCCUGGUGUAGCGGUGGAAUGCGCAGAUAUCAGGAGGAACACCAAUGGCGAAGGCGAUCAUCUGGGGUUGUUCUGACGCUGAGGAGCGAAAGCUAGGGGAGCAAACGGGG